AGCUCCAAUAGCGUAUAUUAAAGUUGUUGCAGUUAAAAAGCUCGUAGUUGGAUCUCGGGUCCAGGCUUGCGGUUCUGCUCGUGCAGAUACUGCUCGUCCUGACCUACCUGCCGGUGUUCCCCUGGUGCCCUUAGCUGGGUGUCUCGGGUGGCCGGAACGUUUACUUUGAAAAAAUUAGAGUGUUCAAAGCAGGCAGCGUGCCUGAAUAAUGGUGCAUGGAAUAAUAGAAAAGGACCUCGGUUCUAUUUUGUUGGUUUUCGGAACUUGAGGUAAUGAUUAAGAGGGACAGACGGGGGCAUUCGUAUUACGGUGUUAGAGGUGAAAUUCUUGGAUCGCCGUAAGACGAACUACUGCGAAAGCAUUUGCCAAGAAUGUUUUCAUUAAUCAAGAACGAAAGUAG
rnacentral:rRNA from 1 species